rnacentral:rRNA from 1 species
UACAGAGGGUGCGAGCGUUGUUCGGAAUUAUUGGGCGUAAAGGGCGCGUAGGCGGUGCGGUAAGUCACCUGUGAAAUCUCCUGGCUCAACUGGGAGCUUGCAGGCGAAACUGCCGUGCUGGAGUGUGGGAGAGGUGCGUGGAAUUCCUGGUGUAGCGGUGAAAUGCGUAGAGAUGUGGAGGAACACCGAUGGCGAAGGCAGCCUCUGGGCCAACACUGACGCUCAUGCACGAAAGCGUGGGGAGCAAACAGG